CAAGAAAUUGGAGAAUGGUCCAAGAGAAAUUUCCAAGUCAACAAACAACAACAAGAGCAAAAGGAAAUGCUAAAAGCACAUUCAAGGACAAAGAAUCUCUGCUUUGCAUUGCUAUUCUCAACUCUUUUCUCUAAGCACUUCCCAACAAUCCUCUCUUUUUUAUGUUCUGAAAGAACACUUUCAUAAGAAAAGCUUCUUUUUGUCAGAGUAUGGUGCUUGGUGGUGGACUUACAUACUUUUGCUUAUAAUUUUUUUUUUUUUUUGUAUGUUUAUUGGGAUUGAAUAUUUACAUUUGUUUCUGUUUAUUGUCUUUUCUUUAGGUGAUUUAGCCAGUGGGAGGUUUAGCAAUUUAAGUAAAAAGAUUGAAAUUCUGGGUUCUGGGUUUUGUUGACAAGUUGAGGAUUUACUUAAUAGGGGAUUGAGAAAUUAGGGGGAUUUUUUUAUUUUUGUGGUUCAGAUUGGGUUUAUGUAUCUGGGCCGUCUCUUUAUAAACUACUUUUUUGAUUGAUGAUGUUUUCUUGUUGAAAAAAGUGAUUAUUUUGUCCUUUUUCUUUGAAAAGUGUUAAAGACAACGGAUGCCUGUUUGUUUUCUCAAGGUUUCUCAUAAUUCAGCUUCUUGGUGAGUCUAAUUAAUUUCUCUCAUAUUUGAUCAUUUUACAUCCAAGUUUGUAGCUGUAUUAGUAUACUUCAAUUUCAUUCUUUGUGAAUUUGUGGGUGGAAUUUGGGUGAUCCAAUUGAAAUAUGCUAAAACAGAUACUGCAUAAGAUUUCUGUUAAACAUUUGAAAUCGGGUAAAGACCAUGACCUCUCUUCAAGUUCUUCGACGAAGAGAAGUGAAGCAGGAAGUAAAAAAUUAAGUAGUGCAGUCAAUGAAGUUAUUUCAGCCCCUCAUUCUGUAGUAAGCAAUGGGAAUAAUCCAGAAGAUGAGUUUUUUCGAGAUAAGAAGUCAAAAGGAAAUGGAAAUUCGGUUCCUGUGUUGUACGAAUCCUUGCCAAGUUUUAGGGAAGUCGCUUCUUCUGAGAAGCAAAAUUUGUUUAUUAGAAAGCUGAAAUUUUGUUGUAAUCUAUAUGACUUCACUGAUCCUGCGAAGAACCUCAGAGAAAAGGAGAUCAAGCGGUUGACAUUGUUGGAGCUAGUGGAGUACGUGACUUCUGCAAAUGUCAAGUUCACGGAACUCGAAUUUCAAGAAGUCAUUAACAUGGCAUCGAUUAAUAUAUUUAGGGAAUUCACUCCUCAGCCGAGGGAGAACAAUAUUUUAGAUGGUCUUGAAUUGGAAGAGGAUGAGCCUGCAAUGGAUCCUGCAUGGCCUCAUUUGCAACUUGUCUAUGAAUUUCUGCUAUUGAUGGUAGUUUCACCCGAAACAGAUGCAAAAGUUGCUAAAGGAUACAUUGAUAAAUCCUUUGUUCUCAAAUUGCUCGAUCUAUUUGACUCUGAAGAUCCUAGAGAAAGGGAAUACUUGAAAACUAUACUACACCGCAUUUACGGGAAGUUUAUGGUUCUCCGGCCCUUCAUCAGGAUCGCUAUAAACAAUAUAUUCUAUGUGUUUAUUUUCGAGACUGAAAAGCAUAAUGGCAUUGCUGAACUUUUGGAAAUUCUCGGGAGCAUAAUCAAUGGAUUUUCUUUGCCACUAAAAAAAGAACAUAAACUCUUUCUUCAGCGAACGCUAAUACCCCUGCACAAACCGAAAUGUUUGGCGAUGUACCACCUACAGCUAUCUUACUGUAUGGCGCAGUUUUUAGAGAAAGACUGGAAGCUUGCUGAUAUGGUUACGAGGGGAUUGUUGAAGUACUGGCCAGUUACUAAUAGCUCGAAGGAAGUCUUGUUCCUUAAUGAGCUGGAGGAAGUUUUAGAAGCAACAAGGCCACCAGAAUUCCAACGAUUUAUGGUGCCUUUGUUUCAUCAAAUUUCUCAUUGCUUGAAUAGUUUGCACUCUCAGCGUACACCUGUGGAUCGAAGUGCCAACAAAAGGAAAACACAUAGUUGACAUAAAACAAAUUAGACAUGAAAUUCUCACACAUGCUCGAGGCUUGUGAAGGAAUUGUCCCUCACGUUUUGGAAAUUUAUGAAAAGAAAACAUAAAAUUAGGACACGCCAUAAGACAAUUCAGACGUGUCUGAGAGUGUUCAAAGUCCGAAAAUUCACCAUAGGAAUGGUGUCGGUGCUUCACAGGAGGGCAUGUAUAGAUUCUGUAAAUGCAUCGGCUUGCUUAUUCUUGGUAAUCAGUUCCAUGCGUCAAAUCAUAAGCUGCGAGACUGCAUAAUAAAAUAUGGAGCUAGACAUUGGCUUUGCCAGUUCUAAGUUCUAACAUACGGAAUUUGUCAUUGAUGUUGGUAUGGCAAAGAGUAUGAGCGGCAUUGUUCUGAUGGCUCCAUCUUUGGCAGUUUAAAGGAUGUGUAUUCUCCUUUUGGAGGGCUAGAGCUUGUUAUUGUACUGUAAUGGCUUUCGAGGUGGCGGAGAGGGCUUUGCUAUUGUGGAACAAUGAUCGCAUCGAGUAUCUAAUCAGACAAAACCGUGCAGUUAUACUGCCUAUAAUCUU